CCGUGGACACAGGCAAAGCGUUGGAUCCAGGUCCACGAAGAAAGAAGACAUUUCUACAAGAUGAAGACCUUCUACCUGCUGCUGGCCCUGUCCCUGAUGCUCGCCCUUGUCGCGGGUGGCGCUGAUGCUGUCUCGGACUUCGACCUGGCUGACGACAAAAGAGAGGAAAAACGUGAAAAACGAAUCUUUGGAUCGCUUGCCGGCAUGCUUUUUAGGGUAGUCAGAGGUUUUUUGAGCAGAAAAGGUUAAAGGUCGCGGCAACUCACGCAAAUCAAAAGACGAUCAAAUCCUAGCAGCCACGACACUUUCAAGCAAACUCACACUGACCAUGUUGACUUCAAUUCCAUCUCCUUCUUAGCAGCUCAAGGGCUGCUGAUGUUACUACUCAGACCUUCUACACUUACAGACCUGUUUCCUCUGCUGGGUUGAGAAAUAAAACUGUAAACUGCAGAUUA